GAUGAACGCUGGCGGCGUGCCUAAUACAUGCAAGUCGAGCGAACAGACGAGGAGCUUGCUCCUCUGACGUUAGCGGCGGACGGGUGAGUAACACGUGGAUAACCUACCUAUAAGACUGGGAUAACUUCGGGAAACCGGAGCUAAUACCGGAUAAUAUAUUGAACCGCAUGGUUCAAUAGUGAAAGACGGUUUUGCUGUCACUUAUAGAUGGAUCCGCGCCGCAUUAGCUAGUUGGUAAGGUAACGGCUUACGAAGGCAACGAUGCGUAGCCGACCUGAGAGGGUGAUCGGCCACCCUGGAACUGAGACACGGUCCAGACUCCUACGGGAGGCAGCAGUAGGGAAUCUUCCGCAAUGGGCGAAAGCCUGACGGAGCAACGCCGCGUGAGUGAUGAAGGUCUUCGGAUCGUAAAACUCUGUUAUUAGGGAAGAACAAAUGUGUAAGUAACUAUGCACGUCUUGACGGUACCUAAUCAGAAAGCCACGGCUAACUACGU
rnacentral:rRNA from 1 species